rnacentral:lncRNA from 1 species
UAGAUGACUUUUUCAAAAUAGUUUUGUCUGGGCGUGAUGCUUUGCUUUGUAAUCUAAGAGCAGGUUGUGCUUCCCCAAAUUCAGUUCUGGGAAGAAACACCGACAAGCAAAGUGUGAGGUGAAUCAUGAAUGAAGUAGAGCUAAACUCUUCUGUAUACAGAUGGUUUAGGUAUGAGACCUUCUGUUUUCUAACUAAUAGGGAUAUGCAACCUUGUUUGGGUAAUGAAAGUAUUUAUUGUGUGAG